CCUACGGGUGGCAGCAGUGGGGAAUAUUGGGCAAUGGGCGCAAGCCUGACCCAGCAACGCCGCGUGAAGGAAGAAGGCUUUCGGGUUGUAAACUUCUUUUCUGGGGGACGAACAAAUGACGGUACCCCAGGAAUAAGCCACGGCUAACUACGUGCCAGCAGCCGCCGUAAUACGUAGGUGGCAAGCGUUAUCCGGAGUUAUUGGGGGGAAAGGGCGUGUAGGCCGGAAUGCAAGUCAGAUGUGAAAACUAUGGGCUCAACCCAGAGCCUGCAUUUGAAACUGUAUUUCUUGAGUGCUGGAGAGGCAAUCGGAAUUCCGGGGGUAGCGGUGAAAGGCGUAGAUAUACGGAGGAACACCAGUGGCGAAGGCGGAUUGCUGGACAGUAACUGACGCUGAGGCGCGAAAGCGUGGGGAGCAAACAGGAUUAGAUACCCCAGUAGUC
rnacentral:rRNA from 1 species